rnacentral:rRNA from 1 species
UGGGGAAUUUUGGACAAUGGGGGAAACCCUGAUCCAGCAAUGCCGCGUGAGUGAAGAAGGCCUUCGGGUUGUAAAGCUCUUUCAGUUGAGAAGAAAAGGUUAUGACUAAUAAUCAUGAUUCAUGACGGUAUCGACAGAAGAAGCACCGGCUAACUACGUGCCAGCAGCCGCGGUAAUACGUAGGGUGCGAGCGUUAAUCGGAAUUACUGGGCGUAAAGGGUGCGCAGGCGGUUAUGUAAGUCAGAUGUGAAAUCCCCGGGCUUAACCUGGGAAUUGCGUUUGAAACUACAUGACUAGAGUGUGGCAGAGGGAAGUGGAAUUCCAUGUGUAGCAGUGAAAUGCGUAGAGAUAUGGAGGAACAUCGAUGGCGAAGGCAGCUUCCUGGGUCAACACUGACGCUCA